rnacentral:lncRNA from 1 species
UUGGGGUGGUCUAUAUGGCUGCAGAGAUUGGUAUGGAGGGUUGGGUUUAGGUUGAUUGCAGCUAGGCACUCAUUGAUUGGAGGGUCUCCUUUGAUUCCCUCCCCACUUAAGAUUGGGUUGAUCUCACCACCCUGGGUUAUAGGUGUUAGAGUACGGAUUAUACCAUCUAUGUCUUAGGUAAUUUACUUCAGCAUGAGUAUUGUCAUAGAGGUCACCCCAACUUGCGC